rnacentral:rRNA from 1 species
CCUACGGGAGGCAGCAGUGAGGAAUAUUGGUCAAUGGACGAGAGUCUGAACCAGCCAAGUAGCGUGAAGGAUGACUGCCCUAUGGGUUGUAAACUUCUUUUAUAUGGGAAUAAAACGUUCCACGUGUGGGAUUUUGUAUGUACCAUAUGAAUAAGGAUCGGCUAACUCCGUGCCAGCAGCCGCGGUAAUACGGAGGAUCCGAGCGUUAUCCGGAUUUAUUGGGUUUAACGGGAGCGUAGGUGGAUUGUUAAGUCAGUUGUGAAAGUUUGCGGCUCAACCGUAAAAUUGCAGUUGAAACUGGCAGUCUUGAGUACAGUAGAGGUGGGCGGAAUUCGUGGUGUAGCGGUGAAAUGCUUAGAUAUCACGAAGAACUCCGAGUGCGAAGGCAGUUCACUGGACUGCAACUGACACUGAGGCUCGAAAGUGUGGGUAUCAAACAGGAUUAGAUACCCGUGUAGUC